rnacentral:rRNA from 1 species
GCGGUAUGCUUUACACAUGCAAGUCGUACGAGAAUUUUUAAUUCAAGUGGCGGACGGGUGAGUAACACGUAAGAAUUUACCUUUAGGAGGGGGACAACAACUGGAAACGGUUGCUAAUACCCCAUAUGCUUUCGAGUGAAAUGGAUUUUCCGCCUAGAGAGAAGCUUGCGGCUGAUUAGCUUGUUGGUGAGGUAAUGGCUCACCAAGGCGACGAUCAGUAUCUGGUUUGAGAGGAUGAUCAGACACACUGGAACUGAGACACGGUCCAGACUCCUACGGGAGGCAGCAGUGGGGAAUUUUCCGCAAUGGGCGAAAGCCUGACGGAGCAAUACCGCGUGAGGGAUGACGGCCUAUGGGUUGUAAACCUCUUUUUUCAGGGAGGAAUAAAUGACGUGUACCUGAAGAAUAAGCAUCGGCUAACUCCGUGCCAGCAGCCGCGGUAAG